rnacentral:rRNA from 1 species
GUCCACGCCGUAAACGAUGAGUGCUAGGUGCUGCGGGUAUUGACCCCUGCGGUGCCGUAGCUAACGCGUUAAGCACUCCGCCUGGGGAGUACGGUCGCAAGACUAAAACUCAAAGGAAUUGACGGGGGCCCGCACAAGCGGUGGAGCAUGUGGUUCAAUUCGACGCAACGCGCAGAACCUUACCUGGGUUAAAUCCACUCGAACUUGAUAGAGAUAUCUUGGUGCCCUUCUGGGGAGCGAGUGAGAAGGUGUUGCAUGGCUGUAGU